ensembl:lncRNA
CUGUAAAGCUCUGUGACUCAGAAACAUUAUGAUGCUUCUAUUUUAAAUAGUUUCUCCAGGCUUUCCUUUGUGAUGCUUUUCAACUCAAGAAAAAGAGAGAAAAAGAAAAAAAAAGCUGCAUGACUGCAGGUUAAAAAAGGAAGAAGAAAAAGAAGAAAACAAACAAUGAAGAGCGUGAAGCAGGAAGGGAGCCAGGAUGGGGCCAUGUGUGUGAUUCACAGCUCCUGCCCUACACUCCUGUAUAGGCUGCAAAUGCAUUUGCUCCCAUCUUUCUGGUCAGCCUUCAGUCCUGGGCUCUGGGAACCAAGUGGUGCACACAUAAGGAUACAAUGGUGUGAAUGUCAUUAAAGGAGAAGAAAAUUCAUCAUCUUAUACACUGAAAUGGUACGAUCUUUCCAUAUUAUCCUUGCUUAUUUGCUGUAGCAUUUAAGAAUUAAUGUUUCCUAACAUGUGUUUGGGUUUUAAAUAAAACACGAGAUCUAGAAUACGGUAUCUAGUGACACUGAGCAUCUUCCCAAAGCGCAGGUAAGAG